GGACUACUAGGGUUUCUAAUCCCGAUCGAUACCCAAGCCUUCGUACCUCAGCGUCAGUUUUUCGUAGUAACAUGCCUUCGCUGCUUUGUAACCCCAUAAGUAUCUAGGUAUUGUUACACUCCUCCUUAGUAUUUGUUACUCCUUUUUACUCUAGUAUGAUAAUAUCAAUUAUUAUUAUUAUAUAAAUUAUUGAUUAGCUAUACCACCUACGUACCCUUUAGACCCAUUAAUGACGAAUAACGCUUGCCUCGCACGUAUUACCGCGGCUGCUGGCAC
rnacentral:rRNA from 1 species